rnacentral:rRNA from 1 species
CCUACGGGGGGCAGCAGUGGGGAAUAUUGCACAAUGGGGGAAACCCUGAUGCAGCGACGCCGCGUGAGCGAUGAAGGAUUUCGGUAUGUAAAGCUCUAUCAGCAGGGAAGAAAAUGACGGUACCUGACUAAGAAGCCACGGCGAACUACGUGCCAGCAGCCGCGGUAAUACGUAGGGGGCAGGCGUUAUCCGGAUUUACUGGGUGUAAAGGGAGCGUAGACGGCUGGUCAAGCCAGAUGUGAAAGCCUGGGGCUCAACCCGGGGACUGCAUUUGGAACUGUGUGGCUGGAGUGUCGGAGAGGCAGGCGGAAUUCCUAGUGUAGCGGUGAAAUGCGUAGAUAUUAGGAGGAACACCAGUGGCGAAGGCGGCCUGCUGGACGAUGACUGACGUUGAUGCUCGAAAGCGUGGGGAGCAAACAGGAUUAGAUACCCUUGUAGUC